UACAGAGGUCCCAAGCGUUGUUCGGAUUCACUGGGCGUAAAGGGUGCGUAGGUGGUGAGGUAAGUCGGAUGUGAAAUCUCCGGGCUUAACCCGGAAACUGCAUUGGAAACUACCUUGCUAGAGGUUUUGAGGGGGGACUGGAAUUCUCGGUGUAGCAGUGAAAUGCGUAGAUAUCGAGAGGAACACCGGUGGCGAAGGCGAGUCCCUGGAAAACACCUGACACUGAGGCACGAAAGCUAGGGGAGCAAACAGG
rnacentral:rRNA from 1 species